CAGGAAUGAAGGACUCACCCUCAGCAGCUGGGAGUGCUGCUGGCAGACGGCCCUCAGCUGUGACCCUCUUUGGGGAUGGCAAUGGCUAAGGAGAGCCACUGUGCCCAAAGUUGUGCCCUUUCCUGUGGUGGCCAAUAUCUAAUGACUGACUGAGGACCUCUCACAGCUUUUAGCAAGCCUAUUUUUGCAUUGUGAAUCUCCAAGAGGGGAUGCCGUAUACAGCCCUUCCAAAAAGCAUUUGACCACAGAGCACUCCUUCAUUAGGAGGAAGAGCAAUGACUUGGAAUUGACAGGAGUUUGUAAAAUGCUUCUGGACUCCAUGGCAAAUAGAAAAAGGGAAAACGAGGGGAUUUCACUCCCAAGUGCUACAAAGCAGUAUGUACAGAAAGGGCGACCAGCCUGAAUUUCAAUUAAGGUGAAGACCAAUUAUUGUAUACCAGGAACAUUUAAAGCAUUUUAAGUACAUCAUGUCAUUUCAUCUUUAUCAACAAAUAUCUCCAUUUUACAGAUGAAGAAACUAAAGCUCAGAGUUAUACAACCAGUAAGUGGAGGAGUCUGC
rnacentral:lncRNA from 1 species